ensembl:lncRNA LINC01608 long intergenic non-protein coding RNA 1608
AGUUUCUUUUUCUGCAUCCGCUGCUCUGUUAAGUGAUCACCACAUUCAUUGUUCUCGUUUCUAUUAUUUCUGAAAAAAAUCUUCAGGAUUCUGCUUGUGGGAGUGGAUGACAUUUUUACAGUGUUUACAGACACAAAAUGAACAAGAUGUCUGUGGCAACCCUCAGACCAUUGACGCCUUCUCUCCUAUGUAUCAAAUCACACAUUUGGACGUUGACUGAACCCUCACAUGUCAGAUGCUCAAUAUUGAGCUUUAUCUAUUCCAGAAUGUCAUAUAGCUGGUAUAAGGUUGUCUUCAUUCAUUUCCACAGUUUCUCUGGAGGUUCCAACAAGAUACGGUCUCCAUUGCCCAUUGCUCUGGACCCCAGCCAUCACCCAGUGCAGCAGUGAUGCCUUAUGACAAGUCAGCACCUGGUCUGAACUCUGCUCUCUUUGCACUGAAUUCUUUGAGUUUUUAUUCCAAGUUCAGUCAUUGGUUUUAGUAUUGGUUCCCAUCUGCUUGGCAUCCUUGGUGGAAUUGGGCUUCUUUUUUCAAUUUCUUUUUGCUGUCUUUUUGUUUUACUGUGUUGAGUAGUGCUAUCUAAAUGUGUUUAUCAUAAAAGAAGCAGCACAUGAUCAUAGGCCCAUGAGCCUGUUUUUCAAGCCAGCCAAACAGCACAUUUAGUUUGACAUUCACACUGGACCUCUGUCCAUUUUUAUAAACUUCGCUUUGGGUCAUCAAUAAAACUAAAUGAAGUUCUCUC